rnacentral:tRNA from 1 species
GCCCCCAUAGUUCAAUGGACAGAAUAUGAGCUUGCGGAGCUUUUGAUGGAAGUUCGAAUCUUCCUGGGGGCA